CCUACGGGGCGCAGCAGUGGGGAAUAUUGCACAAUGGGCGAAAGCCUGAUGCAGCAACGCCGCGUGAAGGAAGAAGGUCUUCGGAUCGUAAACUUCUGUCCUUGGGGAAGAUAAUGACGGUACCCUUGGAGGAAGCCCCGGCUAACUACGUGCCAGCAGCCGCGGUAAUACGUAGGGGGCAAGCGUUAUCCGGAAUUACUGGGUGUAAAGGGAGCGUAGACGGCUGUGCAAGUCUGGAGUGAAAGGCGGGGGCCCAACCCCCGGACUGCUCUGGAAACCGUAUGGCUGGAGUGCAGGAGAGGUAA
rnacentral:rRNA from 1 species